rnacentral:rRNA from 1 species
CAAUAGCGUAUAUUAAAGCUGUUGCGGUUAAAAAGCUCGUAGUUGGAUUUCUGUCAAGGACAACUGGUCCGCCCUCCGGGUGAGCACAUAGUUUGGUCUUGGCAUCUUGCUGGAAACUGUUGCUGCACUUGGCUGUGUGGCGCAGUGUCCAGCACUUUCACUUUGAGGAAAUUGGAGUGUUUCAAGCAGGCACAUGCCUUUGGACACAGUAGCAUGGAAUAAUUAGAUUGGGCCUUUGCUCCAAUUUGUCGGUUUCUGGAGCUGAGGUGAGAAUUAAUGGGGAUUGUUGGGGGCAUCCGAAUUUAGCCGUCAGAGGUGAAAUUCUUGGAUCUGCUAAAGACGGACAACUGCGAAAGCGUUUGCCCAGGAUGUUUUCAUUGA